GUAGCGCCCAGCCAACGAGCUGGGCGAGGAUUGAAAC
rfam:Nitrosomonas communis strain Nm2, complete genome.